CAGCACCGCCUGCUACUUACAUCGCAUUUAUCUUUCGCCUUUUACUAAAGAUAGCCGUGAGUGAGCAGGCACUGCGGUGCAUUGACCCAAUUUUUGGAGCCCCCUCAAAAGGGCAA
rnacentral:snRNA from 14 species